rnacentral:rRNA from 1 species
GACGAACGCUGGCGGCGUGCUUAACACAUGCAAGUCGAACGGAAAGGCCCUGCUUUUGUGGGGUGCUCGAGUGGCGAACGGGUGAGUAACACGUGAGUAACCUGCCCUUGACUUUGGGAUAACUUCAGGAAACUGGGGCUAAUACCGGAUAGGAGCUCCUGCUGCAUGGUGGGGGUUGGAAAGUUUCGGCGGUUGGGGAUGGACUCGCGGCUUAUCAGCUUGUUGGUGGGGUAGUGGCUUACCAAGGCUUUGACGGGUAGCCGGCCUGAGAGGGUGACCGGCCACAUUGGGACUGAGGUACGGCCCAGACUCCUACGGGAGGCAGCAGUGGGGAAUAUUGCACAAUGGGCGGGAGCCUGAUGCAGCAACGCCGCGUGCGGGAUGACGGCCUGCGGGUUGUAAACCGCUUUCGCCUGUGACGAAGCGUGAGUGACGGUAAUGGGUAAAGAAGCACCGGCUAACUACGUG